UAAUUACCUCCAACUCGAAUUCAACACAAGGAAUCCACUUGUUGCGGAUAAGGUAGUCAACUUCCUUAGCCAAUUCGGAAUCGGUAAGGUCAGGAAGGUAAGAGAGAGUCUCAAACUUCUUCUUUCCAAUCGGAGGCCACACCUAUUUUUUCGAUUUUUCCAAUGAUAUUAGUUUAUGUAGAUUCGA
rnacentral:sRNA from 1 species